rnacentral:rRNA from 1 species
CCUACGGGUGGCUGCAGUGGGGAAUAUUGGACAAUGGGCGAAAGCCUGAUCCAGCCAUGCCGCGUGUGUGAAGAAGGCCUUCGGGUUGUAAAGCACUUUCAGUGGGGAAGAAAGCCUUGGGGCUAAUACCCUCGAGGAAGGACAUCACCCACAGAAGAAGCACCGGCUAACUCCGUGCCAGCAGCCGCGGUAAUACGGAGGGUGCGAGCGUUAAUCGGAAUUACUGGGCGUAAAGCGCGCGUAGGCGGUCUGAUAAGCCGGUUGUGAAAGCCCCGGGCUCAACCUGGGAACGGCAUCCGGAACUGUCAGGCUAGAGUGCAGGAGAGGAAGGUAGAAUUCCCGGUGUAGCGGUGAAAUGCGUAGAGAGCGGGAGGAAUGCCAGUGGCGAAGGCGGCCUUCUGGACUGACACUGACGCUGAGGUGCGAAAGCGUGGGUAGCAAACAGGAUGAGAUACCCCUGUAGUC